rnacentral:rRNA from 1 species
UACGGAGGGGGGCUAGCGUUGUUCGGAAUUACUGGGCGUAAAGCGCACGUAGGCGGCUUUUGCAAGUUAGAGGUGAAAGCCCGGGGCUCAACUCCGGAAUUGCCUUUAAAACUGCAUCGCUAGAAUUGUGGAGAGGUAAGUGGAAUUCCGAGUGUAGAGGUGAAAUUCGUAGAUAUUCGGAAGAACACCAGUGGCGAAGGCGACUUACUGGACACAUAUUGACGCUGAGGUGCGAAAGCGUGGGGAGCAAACAGG